CAGACGACGACGGGUAGCCGGCCUGAGAGGGCGACCGGCCACACUGGGACUGAGACACGGCCCAGACUCCUACGGGAGGCAGCAGUGGGGAAUAUUGCACAAUGGGGGAAACCCUGAUGCAGCGACGCAGCGUGCGGGAUGACGGCCUUCGGGUUGUAAACCGCUUUCAGCAGGGAAGAAGCCUUUCGGGGUGACGGUACCUGCAGAAGAAGUACCGGCUAACUACGUGCCAGCAGCCGCGGUAAUACAAA
rnacentral:rRNA from 1 species